rnacentral:rRNA from 1 species
GUGGAUGCCUUGGCUCUCAGAGGCGAUGAAGGACGUGAUAAGCUGCGAUAAGCUACGGUAAGGUGCAAACAACCGCUAUACCCGUAGAUUUCCGAAUGGGGAAACCUGCUACGCUGAAGGCGUAGCGCAUUAGCGCCAACCCGAUGAACUGAAACAUCUAAGUAGUCGGAGGAAUAGAAAACAAUAGUGAUUCUCCUAGUAGUGGCGAGCGAACGGGGAACAGCCUAAACCAUCAUUGUUUCGGCAAUGGUGGGGUUGUAGGACUACAAUGUGGACUUGUUAUUUUUAGUAGAACAACGAUGGAAUCGUUACCAUAGAGGGUGAUAGUCCCGUACACGAAAAAAAUAACAUACCUAGUAGUAUCCUGAGUAGGGCGGGACACGUGAAAUCCUGUCUGA